CAUCAGACGCAAUCUGCCGCAAAUAUGUUUGCGGUUUUCCGUAUUUGACUGGAUACCUUGUUGCGAAACGCCAAGCUAAUACAUGAGUCGAAUGGGUGUUCUCCGAUCCAAUGUGGGCCAGGGCUUCGGCCUGAAACCCGCAGUGAGACGCCUGGCGAAUGAAUGAGAUUAAAACCAAUGCCAUGUUCCCAUGGCAGUAUAUUUCAACCACAGAAGUGUUGAACCAAUUCAUUCCGUGCGAAAGCUGGUUUACCAGCGUCUUUUGACGAACAACUGCCCUAUCAGCCAGAUGGCCGUGUAGUGGACUGCCAUGGCGUUGACGGGAGCGGGGGAUUAGGGUUCGAUUCCGGAGAGGGAGCCUGAGAAAUGGCUACCACUUCUACGGAGGGCAGCAGGCGCGCAAAUUGCCCAAUGCCAAAAAAUUGGUGAGGCAGCAAAAAGAAAUAGGCCUCCUUAGCACCUUUCCGGUGUUUGGGAGAUUCCAAUGGGGGAUAUCUACACCCAUCCAAAAUCGAGUAUCCAUUGGAGGACAAGUCUGGUGCCAGCACCCGCGGUAAUUCCAGCUCCAAGAGCGUAUAUUAACGCUGUUGCUGUUAAAGGGUUCGUAG
rnacentral:rRNA from 1 species